AUUUGUUAUUAGAAUAAAUACUUUUGUUAAUUUUAUGUGAAACUUUAUCAUUUAUUUUAAUUAAUAACGACCUCGCCUAUUCCGAACAAAGAUUGCAUCUGGUCCGAUCUCGAGUUAAAGCGAUUCAAUUCGUUGACUCGAAACGGGUUAUAGCGGGCCUAUCGGCACGUUGACCUAUAUUUUUGAGUCAUAAAAAGUGCGUUCGACCCGCGGCACAUACCCUCUCUUAAACUGUGUGCCUACAGGAAUUCUACACGUUUUGUUACGUUCUUCCCUGCCUUACCUGUUCUCCCUGAAAUAUCCUUCCUACCGAAUAAAAAGUUAAAUUCUAUAAGGCUGGACGUAACAGAUAUAAGAAACAAACAUAAAGAGGAGUUAACUCAAAGAAAUAAUAGCGACUUGGAGACACAGGCAGAGAUAAAAGGAAAGUUUUAUUUUGAAAACUUCUACAAAAAAGAAGAAAGAAGCCCCUGGUUUAAAGGAACGGACCUAUCUAGAAGAGCCACAGUUCUAUUCAACAGAUUAAGAGCUAAUCACUUCAACCUAAAUUCAAGCUUGGCGCGCGAAGGUUAUAUAAAUUCCGAGAGAUGUCAGUGUGGUAACGAAAGAGAAGAAUUGGACCAUUUCAUAUUUAGUUGCAGCAUUCAUGACGAAACAAGAAUGAACUUGAACCUAACGGAAGAAUUGAAUAAAGUAGGAGACUCGCUCGCCUGACGCCGAUCUGAGUGGUUGUGCGUGUCCGUACUUAAUUAUUAUACUUGGAUUUUCGGAGAUAUAUAUUAUAGUUAAAUUUCAUUGUUCAAAUGAAUUAAAGGAUCGGCGUCGAAUAUUUUACCAUAUGGUCUCUAUUCAUAUAUCAAGAAUGGUCUGAGACCUUGGAUCGAAACUAUCCUGAUUACCUUCGACGUAAAGUUUGUGAAGGACAACGAUUCUACCAUAUUGGGAAACAACAUCCAUCAUUGUCGGGGAACAUAAGAAAUAACUUGUAUAUCAGCCAUUUUUCGACUUCUCCACGUGGAACAACCAUUGAUGAAAUUGAGAUUUCUGUAAUCUGGAUAUGAUGCCAUCACAUAGUUGAAGCAUGAUUAAGGGCAUAAAUAAAUGACGUCAUAAUUUGCAUCGAGUGAGAGUAAAUUAACUAUUUGAAUUGUUAAUAAUCAUCUACCAAGUCGAGCUUUACAAAAGAACUUACCCAUAUGUAGGGGAAUUUCCCCUAAGCCAAUUACAACCACUAAGGAGCAUCAGGAAAUAUACCAGGAAUCAAUAAUCCAUAUACAUACAUAGCAGUCACACUCUCCCUAGGUGUCUGCUAUAGGUCUUUGACCUAACUAACUGUGGUACUGUGACUCUUACCAGAGUCGGAUAUCCAUUUAGGGAACAAGAAGAAGAAGAAGAAGAAUAAAGUAGGAGGAGACCGACUCGAGCAGCCGACCCGUACAGACGUAGUCCUCUCACUUUACUUAUAAUUUAACAAAAGUUAGGCUACUGGUCUUUAUUAAGAGUGUAAUUAAAAUAGUGGAAAUCAUCAAAGUUAUUGAAUAUAAGGGGUCGGCUUUGAUAUUUGGUUGUUCGAACAUAUUCCAAGGCAAACUACAAAGGAUAAAGGACAAAGGAAAUUCAGCUGUGCACGUGCACAGCCAUACGAGCCACACACUGAAUACAUGAACUUGGGCGGCCAUCUUAUGGAAAAUUACGCAGAAAGGAGAUAAGCAAAGUAGUAAAAAUCUACAAGAGGAUUGAAUUUGUCCAAGUUAAUAACCUCCGGAGACCAGACUGCAAGUCAUUUCAGGACUAUAACUUGAAUAACCUAGCCCUCAACUAAAAGAGGUAAGUCUGGAGACUUAAAAACCGAUAAGAUUUUCUACUGCUUGUUUAGCAUGGCGUAGUAUGCUUUAUACUUUUCAAGUUUUUGCUUGUAUUUUACACAUUAAGCUUAUAACUAUUGCCUUUUCAAUUCUUAUACGAGCUGUGUUAUACCGCACUAUGAUUUGAGGACGUGAGAGCAAUACACUAAUACGAAAAAA
rnacentral:lncRNA from 1 species